rnacentral:rRNA from 1 species
UUAAGCGACUAAGCGUACACGGUGGAUGCCCUGGCAGUCAGAGGCGAUGAAGGACGUGCUAAUCUGCGAAAAGCGUCGGUAAGGUGAUAUGAACCGUUAUAACCGGCGAUGUCCGAAUGGGGAAACCCAGUGCAAUUCGUUGCACUAUCGUUAACUGAAUACAUAGGUUAACGAGGCGAACCGGGGGAACUGAAACAUCUAAGUACCCCGAGGAAAAGAAAUCAACCGAGAUUCCCCCAGUAGCGGCGAGCGAACGGGGAGCAGCCCAGAGUCUGAAUCAGCUUGUGUGUUAGUGGAACGGUCUGGAAAGUCCGACGGUACAGGGUGAUAGUCCCGUACACCAAAAUGCACAGGUUGUGAACUCGAAGAGUAGGGCGGGACACGUGGUAUCCUGUCUGAAUAUGGGGGGACCAUCCUCCAAGGCUAAAUACUCCUGACUGACCGAUAGUGAACCAGUACCGUGAGGGAAAGGCGAAAAGAACCCCGGCGAGGGGAGUGAAAAAGAACCUGAAACCGUGUACGUACAAGCAGUGGGAGCACCUUCGGGUGUGACUGCGUACCUUUUGUAUAAUGGGUCAGCGACUUAUAUUCUGUAGCAAGGUUAACCGUAUAGGGGAGCCGCAGGGAAACCGAGUCUUAACUGGGCGUUAAGUUGCAGGGUAUAGACCCGAAACCCGGUGAUCUAGCCAUGGGCAGGUUGAAGGUUGGGUAACACUAACUGGAGGACCGAACCGACUAAUGUUGAAAAAUUAGCGGAUGACUUGUGGCUGGGGGUGAAAGGCCAAUCAAACCGGGAGAUAGCUGGUUCUCCCCGAAAGCUAUUUAGGUAGCGCCUCGUGAACUCAUCUUCGGGGGUAGAGCACUGUUUCGGCUAGGGGGUCAUCCCGACUUACCAACCCGAUGCAAACUACGAAUACCGAAGAAUGUUAUCACGGGAGACACACGGCGGGUGCUAACGUCCGUCGUGAAGAGGGAAACAACCCAGACCGCCAGCUAAGGUCCCAAAGUCAUGGUUAAGUGGGAAACGAUGUGGGAAGGCACAGACAGCCAGGAUGUUGGCUUAGAAGCAGCCAUCAUUUAAAGAAAGCGUAAUAGCUCACUGGUCGAGUCGGCCUGCGCGGAAGAUGUAACGGGGCUAAACCAUGCACCGAAGCUGCGGCAGCGACACUAUGUGUUGUUGGGUAGGGGAGCGUUCUGUAAGCCUGCGAAGGUGACCUGUGAGGGUUGCUGGAGGUAUCAGAAGUGCGAAUGCUGACAUAAGUAACGAUAAAGCGGGUGAAAAGCCCGCUCGCCGGAAGACCAAGGGUUCCUGUCCAACGUUAAUCGGGGCAGGGUGAGUCGACCCCUAAGGCGAGGCCGAAAGGCGUAGUCGAUGGGAAACAGGUUAAUAUUCCUGUACUUGGUGUUACUGCGAAGGGGGGACGGAGAAGGCUAUGUUAGCCGGGCGACGGUUGUCCCGGUUUAAGCAUGUAGGCUGGUUGUCCAGGCAAAUCCGGAUAAUCAAGGCUGAGGUGUGAUGACGAGGUACUACGGUGCUGAAGUAACAAAUGCCCUGCUUCCAGGAAAAGCCUCUAAGCAUCAGGUAACAUCAAAUCGUACCCCAAACCGACACAGGUGGUCAGGUAGAGAAUACCAAGGCGCUUGAGAGAACUCGGGUGAAGGAACUAGGCAAAAUGGUGCCGUAACUUCGGGAGAAGGCACGCUGGUGUGUAGGUGAAGUCCCUGCGGAUGGAGCUGAGACCAGUCGAAGAUACCAGCUGGCUGCAACUGUUUAUUAAAAACACAGCACUGUGCAAACACGAAAGUGGACGUAUACGGUGUGACGCCUGCCCGGUGCCGGAAGGUUAAUUGAUGGGGUUAUCCGUAAGGAGAAGCUCUUGAUCGAAGCCCCGGUAAACGGCGGCCGUAACUAUAACGGUCCUAAGGUAGCGAAAUUCCUUGUCGGGUAAGUUCCGACCUGCACGAAUGGCGUAAUGAUGGCCAGGCUGUCUCCACCCGAGACUCAGUGAAAUUGAACUCGCUGUGAAGAUGCAGUGUACCCGCGGCAAGACGGAAAGACCCCGUGAACCUUUACUAUAGCUUGACACUGAACAUUGAGCCUUGAUGUGUAGGAUAGGUGGGAGGCUUUGAAGCGUGGACGCCAGUCUGCGUGGAGCCAACCUUGAAAUACCACCCUUUAAUGUUUGAUGUUCUAACGUUGGCCCCUGACCGGGGUUGCGGACAGUGUCUGGUGGGUAGUUUGACUGGGGCGGUCUCCUCCCAAAGCGUAACGGAGGAGCACGAAGGUUAGCUAAUCCUGGUCGGACAUCAGGAGGUUAGUGCAAUGGCAUAAGCUAGCUUGACUGCGAGCGUGACGGCGCGAGCAGGUGCGAAAGCAGGUCAUAGUGAUCCGGUGGUUCUGAAUGGAAGGGCCAUCGCUCAACGGAUAAAAGGUACUCCGGGGAUAACAGGCUGAUACCGCCCAAGAGUUCAUAUCGACGGCGGUGUUUGGCACCUCGAUGUCGGCUCAUCACAUCCUGGGGCUGAAGUAGGUCCCAAGGGUAUGGCUGUUCGCCAUUUAAAGUGGUACGCGAGCUGGGUUUAGAACGUCGUGAGACAGUUCGGUCCCUAUCUGCCGUGGGCGCUGGAGAAUUGAGGGGGGCUGCUCCUAGUACGAGAGGACCGGAGUGGACGCAUCACUGGUGUUCGGGUUGUCAUGCCAAUGGCACUGCCCGGUAGCUAAAUGCGGAAGAGAUAAGUGCUGAAAGCAUCUAAGCACGAAACUUGCCCCGAGAUGAGUUCUCCCUGAGACUUUAAGUCUCCUGAAGGAACGUUGAAGACGACGACGUUGAUAGGCCGGGUGUGUAAGCGCAGCGAUGCGUUGAGCUAACCGGUACUAAUGAACCGUGAGGCUUAACCUU